GUGGGAAGAGGUUUUACAGAACAAGAAACUGAACAAGUAUAACCAUAAUAUCAUCGAUGAACAAUUUCACAUUCUACCAGGCUGAUGGAUUGAAAAGAUUUAAUGCCUCGGAUCCAAACAAGCUUCUCCCUAGCAAUGUACCCGAAGGCUCUUUUAUCAUCAGAGAGCACACUCCUAUGUCAAAUUUGUUCUCAUGACUUCGGUUCAAUGAAAUUGAUUGGUUCACUCCUCGUGAUCAACUAAGUUUUUGCAUAUACAUAUCAAAAGAUGAGAAGGGUGAAUCCUGGCAAACAGUUUCGCCUUAAUAUGUUCAAGGACUGUGAGAGGAGAGCCAUAGCUAAGCUAUUUCGUCAUAGGUCAGAAGAAAAGCAGAAUAUUCACCAAAGUGCAACUGAGUGAAAUGUGUCUUUGACCUUUCCAGUAGGAAGUUGGCUUCUCCAUUUUGUGCUUGGUCACACCCUUCUUGAAUUCCUUGUGAAGGUAUGCCUUAUAAUGUUCUACAUGGUGCAGGCAUGUAUUUUUGUGGAAAUAUACAUGAAAUUCACAGUUCCAGUGUGAGGGAAGGCUAUAGUGGAUGCAGAAUUUUAUUGGAAGUCAUCAACUAUCGUGAGGUCAGUAUUCUUCAAUCUGCAGAAUCAGACAGUCCGAAUCUAUUCUAGCAUUGACAUGUGUAUGCAUUUUUUUCCCAUUCAUUGCUUUGUUAGGAUGCAAGCAAAGCACCUGGGGUGCCUCUGCAUCCACUGCAACAAGUGCUCUAUGUAUGUUCCCUUCCCACUCACUUAUCAAGUUUUUAGUUGCCUGCUAACUAACUUUAAUUGGUCAUUUAGGCUCGUAUGAUAUGUGGCCAAUUGGAUUGGUGAUUUUGCAAUUCUGAUUUUGUUAAGCCAGACAAUGAUUUGUUGUACCCUUCUUCUGGGUGAAAAGCGAAGUUUGGUUUGGUUGCUCUAUUUUUAAGAGGAUGAAGGUUGAGCCUAUAGAGACAAGUUUUUUUUUUUUUUUUUUUUUUUAACACCUUGUAUUAAUCUUCCUCAGCUGGACUUAGGCAAAAUAGUAGAGAAGUAUACAAAUAUACAAGUAUCAGUAGAAUAGCAAAAAUGCAUUCUUCUUUAUUAAUAAGUUUGCUCACGGUAAUUGUGGUCUCUUGGGAGAAACCAAUGACUGCAUCAAAGAUGUACUUGCUAGUAACAAUACAUUUGAGAAUUCUUUUUUCCCUAGUUGUAAUGUAUUUUCAUUAUUUUUGGCAAUUCACUCGACGUAUUAAGGAUUGCAUAAUCUUUGUCUUGUCUUGUAUAAGUUUUCGAGGCACAAU